AGAGUUUGAUCCUGGCUCAGAUUGAACGCUGGCGGCAUGCUUUACACAUGCAAGUCGAACGGCAGCACGGGGGCAACCCUGGUGGCGGAGUGGCGAACGGGUGAGUAAUGCAUCGGAACGUAUUCUUGAGGUGGGGAUAACGCAGACGUAAAGUUGUGACUAACUACCGCAUAAGCUCUGAGGAGGAAAGGCGGGGGACCGAAAGGCCUCGCGCUAGAAGGAGCGGCCGAUGUCCGAUUAGCUAGUUGGUGAGGUAAAGGCUUACCAAGGCGACGAUCGGUAGCUGGUCUGA
rnacentral:rRNA from 1 species